rnacentral:lncRNA from 1 species
GUCUCGAAGAGCUGGAGAUAUUUUUGCUUCAUUUCUUCCUCUAGCUCCCAAGUAGCUUCUCUUUCUGAAUGCCGACUCCACUGUACCUUGACAUAAGGAAUGUUGCGACAUCUCAGCACCUGUUCUUUACGGUCUACAAUCCGUAUCGGGUAUUCUUCAUAUGUUAGAUCCUUCCUGGCUUGUACUGGUUCAAGUUCCACAAUGUGACUUGGAUCUG